AAAAACUCUAGUGGUCCCUAUCCUACAACCAUGACACUAGACCUCCAGACUUUCCUGUCAAGGGCCAUGUCCUCGGAAACCUGCAUUCUAGCCAUGUCAUGCCUAAUCACCUCUCCCCAAUACCUCUUAGGCCUCCCUCUGCCUCGCCGAAGUCCGACCAUCGCCAGCCGUUCACAACUCCUCACCGGGGCAUCAGGACUUCUCCUCCGCAUAUGCUCGAACCACCUUAGCCUCGCUUCUCGCAUCUUCUCAUCCACCGGGGCCACCCCCGCCUUCUCUCG
rnacentral:lncRNA from 1 species